rnacentral:rRNA from 1 species
AUUGAACGCUGGCGGCAUGCUUUACACAUGCAAGUCGAACGGUAACAGGCCUUCGGGUGCUGACGAGUGGCGAACGGGUGAGUAAUGCAUCGGAACGUACCCAGAGGUGGGGGAUAACGCAGCGAAAGCUGUGCUAAUACCGCAUGUGAUCUGAGGAUGAAAGCGGGGGACCGAGCAGCAAUGUUUGGCCUCGCGCCUUUGGAGCGGCCGAUGUCGGAUUAGCUAGUUGGUGGGGUAAAGGCCUACCAAGGCGACGAUCCGUAGCUGGUCUGAGAGGACGACCAGCCACACUGGGACUGAGACACGGCCCAGACUCCUACGGGAGGCAGCAGUGGGGAAUUUUGGACAAUGGGCGCAAGCCUGAUCCAGCAAUGCCGCGUGCGGGAAGGAGGCCUUCGGGUUGUAAACCGCUUUUGGCAGGAACGAAACGGUGUCCGCUAAUACCGGGCGCUAAUGACGGUACCUGCAGAAUAAGCACCGGCUAACUACGUG